rnacentral:rRNA from 1 species
AGCGAACGCUGGCGGCAGGCCUAACACAUGCAAGUCGAACGGAUCCUUCGGGAUUAGUGGCGGACGGGUGAGUAACACGUGGGAACGUGCCCUUUGGUUCGGAACAACUCAGGGAAACUUGAGCUAAUACCGGAUGUGCCCUUCGGGGGAAAGAUUUAUCGCCAUUGGAGCGGCCCGCGUCUGAUUAGCUAGUUGGUGAGGUAAAGGCUCACCAAGGCGACGAUCAGUAGCUGGUCUGAGAGGAUGAUCAGCCACAUUGGGACUGAGGCACGGCCCAAACUCCUACGGGAGGCAGCAGUGGGGAAUCUUGCGCAAUGGGCGAAAGCCUGACGCAGCCAUGCCGCGUGAAUGAUGAAGGUCUUAGGAUUGUAAACCCCUUUUUAUGCCGACGAGUGAGGACGGUAGGCAUAGAAUCAGUCUCGGCUAACUACGUGCCAGCCGCCGCUGUAACAC